rnacentral:rRNA from 1 species
ACGGGUGAGUAACACGUGGGUGACCUGCCUUCGAGUGGGGGAUAACGUUUCGAAAGGAACGCUAAUACCGCAUGACAUCCUGCCUUUGAACAGGCGGAGAUCAAAGCCGGGGAUCGUAAGACCUGGCGCUUGAAGAGGGGCCCGCGUCCGAUUAGCUAGUUGGUGGGGUAACGGCUCACCAAGGCGACGAUCGGUAUCCGGCCUGAGAGGGCGGACGGACACACUGGGACUGAGACACGGCCCAGACUCCUACGGGAGGCAGCAGUGGGGAAUUGUUCGCAAUGGGCGCAAGCCUGACGACGCAACGCCGCGUGGAGGAUGAAGGUCUUCGGAUUGUAAACUCCUGUUGAUCGGGACGAACAACCAUCGGGAUAACACCCCGGAGGUCUGACGGUACCGAUUGAGGAAGCCCCGGCUAACUCUGUGCCAGCAGCCGCGGUAAUACAGAGGGGGCAAGCGUUGUUCGGAAUUACUGGGCGUAAAGGGCGCGUAGGCGGCCGCCUAAGUCAGACGUGAAAUCCCUCGGCUCAACCGGGGAACUGCGUCUGAUACUGGGUGGCUUGAAUCCGGGAGAGGGAUGCGGAAUU